AAAACAUGUCUCUUAGAAAUCAUUAAGAGUCAGGCACUGCCCAGUGAUUGCUUUUUAACGGCCGCGGUACCCUGACCGUGCAAAGGUAGCAUAAUCAUUUGCCUUUUAAUUGAAGGCUGGUAUGAACGGUUUGACGAGAGUAAAGCUGUCUCACAUAUACUUAAUAAAAAUUAAUUUAAAGGUGCAAAAGCCUUUAUUACCCAAAAAGACGAGAAGACCCUGUUGAGCUUUAAUUUAGCCCAAGUAUUAACUAUAUAUUAAUAUAAUUCACUUACUCGGUAAAAAUUUUAAUUGGGGCGAUUAAGGAACACACAAAAGCUUCCUGAUUAUUCAAUAAAAUAUUCAAUAGAUUAAAUCGAUCCAGCAAUGCUGAUCAACAAAAUGAGUUACCACAGGGAUAACAGCAUAAUUCUUUUUGAGAGCUCAUAUCGAAAAAAGAGAUUGUGACCUCGAUGUUGGACUAGGGUAACCGGAAGGUGCAGCCGCUUUUCCUGCUUGGUCUGUUCGACCAAUAAUUCCCUACGUGAUCUG
rnacentral:rRNA from 1 species